rnacentral:rRNA from 1 species
GAACUUAAGCAUAUCAAUAAGCGGAGGAAAAGAAACCAACAGGGAUUGCCUUAGUAACUGCGAGUGAAGCGGCAAAAGCUCAAAUUUGAAAUCUGGCGUCUUUGGCGUCCGAAUUGUAAUUUGGAGAGGCAACUUCGGAGAUGGUGCUGUCCUAAGUUCCUUGGAACAGGAUGACAUAGAGGGUGAGAUCCCCGUGCCUGGAUGGCUGUCCAUCUUCAUGUGAAUUGCCUUCGAAGAGUCGAGUUGUUUGGGAAUGCAGCUCAAAAUGGGUGGUAAAUUUCAUCUAAAGCUAAAUAUUGGCGAGAGACCGAUAGCGCACGAGUAGAGUGAUCGAAAGAUGAAAAGCACUUUGAAAAGAGAGUUAAAAAGUACGUGAAAUUGUUGAAAGGGAAGCGCUUGAGAACAGACUCGAUUCGUGGUGAUCAGCUGUGCUUCUGUACGGUGCACUCGCCAUGGAUUGGGCCAGCAUCGGUUCUGACGGUGGGAUAAAAGGUUGAGGAAUGUGUCUUCCUUCGGGGAGUGUUAUAGCCUCACUCACAAUGCCACCAGCUGGGACCGAGGACCGCGCUUCGGCUAGGAUGCUGGCGUAAUGGUCUUAAGCGACCCGUCUUGAAACACGGACCAAGGAGUCUAACAUCUAUGCGAGUGUUCGGGUGGAAAACCCUUGCGCGUAAUGAAAGUGAACGGAGGUGGGAACCCGCAAGGGUGCACCAUCGACCGAUCCCGAUGUCUUCGGAAGGAUUUGAGUAAGAGCAUAGCUGUUGGGACCCGAAA